GCAGUCAUGUCCGAGUGGUUAAGGAGAUUGACUAGAAAUCAAUUGGGCUCUGCCCGCGUAGGUUCGAAUCCUGCUGACUAGGCA
rnacentral:tRNA from 1 species